rnacentral:rRNA from 1 species
UACAGAGGUGGCAAGCGUUGUUCGGAAUUACUGGGCGUAAAGGGCUUGUAGGCGGCCAACUAAGUCAUACGUGAAAUCCCUCAGCUUAACUGGGGAACUGCGUGUGAUACUGGAUGGCUUGGAUUUGGGAGAGGGAUGCGGAAUUCCAGGUGUAGCGGUGAAAUGCGUAGAUAUCUGGAGGAACACCGGUGGCGAAGGCGGCAUCCUGGACCAAUAUUGACGCUGAGGAGCGAAAGCCAGGGGAGCAAACGGG